rnacentral:misc_RNA from 1 species
CUUUUCAUAUUUUGUUUAUAGGUACAUGAUGGUAAAAAUCUCAAAGGACGGUCUAAUGAUGCUAAGGCAUCUGCAUGCUUAUAUAUUGCCUGUCGACAAGAGGGAGUUCCUCGUACUUUCAAAGAAAUCUGUGCUGUUAGCAAAAUAAGCAAAAAGGAAAUUGGUCGUUGCUUCAAGUUAACUUUAAAAGCACUUGAAACAAGUGUAGAUUUAAUUACUACAGCGGAUUUCAUGUCCAGAUUUUGCGCCAAUCUUGACCUUCCAAAUAUGGUACAACGAGCUGCGACAUAUAUAGCGAAAAAAGCUGUCGAAAUGGACAUUGUUCCAGGAAGAUCACCAAUUUCAGUUGCCGCCGCAGCUAUAUAUAUGGCUUCUCAGUGAGCAUACUCCUUCGGGU